UCCCUUUAAAAGAUAGGCACUGAAUGGUCGCCCCUAUCGCCCACCUUUAAGACGAGCCUUUUACUACUAACACUAGGACAAAAAAAUCAUUUGUAUCACAACAAAAACACCAAUCAUUACAACCAUGGGUAGAGCUAGGGAUGAGCAAAAGGACCGAACCGGCCGGAACCGGCCCGAAUCGGACCGGACCGGGGAGCCGGCUUUGGCAAAAAUCAAGAACCGAACCGGCCCGGCGGUUCUACCGGUUCCCGGUUCCUACCGGUUCUUGUCGUGUCUUCAAAUGUUGGAACCACUCCUUGAAAAAUAGCAUCAUACGGUUCCGGUUUUUGCCGGUUCUACCGUUUUUUGCCAGCUCUACCGGUUUCGGUUAAAUCGGUUCCGGUUCCUACCGGUUCCCGGUUCCAAAACUCCACAAAAAUAAUGUCCCGGUCCCGGCCCGACCGGUUCCAUCGGGUUCCGGUUCCGGUGCCGGUUCCGGUUCCGGUACCGGUUCCGGCCGGUUCCCCGGUCCAUAUGCUCAUCCCCAGGUAGAGCAUAUUAAGGACAAAAAAUGCUUCUUGCCCCCUUAUUUUUAGAAGAAUAGUAUUUUUAGUUUCGGCCUCUUUCAAAUUAAUUGCUCAAUUCUGUACCUAAUUACAACAAUAACCUUAAAGAUAAGGCAAAUUCGUCGAACAUUCCAUGGUCAAGACACGGGUUGCAUGUUUUUUUGGGAGAUACUGGUGAUCAAGGUUCUAAAAAGCUCGUCAUGGCUCCAAGGCUUGUAUCUGCCGCCAAGCUUUACCAAAACACCGUCUUAACUCAUAUAUGUGUAUAAAAUAAAAUAAUAGUUGAAAAUACAUAUAAAAAUAUUAAUUAUUUAAAAAAUUAUCGCCUUAAGUUACGCCUUACAAAUGACGUGGCUCGCCAAGGCUCGAAAAAGCUUGAGGCUUGACAUUGCCGCCAAGUCACGCCUUACGUUAUUUAGAACCAUACUGAUGAUAACGUCAAGUUGCCAUACCUUCAAUGCAAGCAAAUAAAAUCGGCUGUUAAAUAAUUAGCGUAGCGGCUUCUAAAACCAUUGAGGAAGCAUGAAAUGUUGUCGCUUUGUAUCUUUCCAUGCCAUUUAAUUUUCAAAGAAAAAAAUUGUGCACGCAUGCAACACGUGACUUUUCAUUUUAUUUUAUUUAUUUUGUGCUUUUUUCUACAUAAAUUUUGUAUACAUAAAUGUUAUUUCUAAAAAUAUUUAUUUUAAAAAAUAUAUAUUAUGUUUUAUUUUAUUUUAUUUUAUAUUCUUUAAUUUAAUGAAAUAAAAAUCAAUGAUAAUCCGUUGUAAAAGAUAGAAUUUCAAUGUAACCUAGGUUAGAAAUAAAUUGAUGCACAACUGAUAUGCCAUUGAAUUUAAACAAGAAUAACAAAACUUCAUAUCUCAUUAUGUAAUACAAAAAAUUAUAAAGGCACUGCAAAAUUAUAAAUUUCCAUUUCAUGCAAAAAUAAGAAUAGACCGUAUAACCUUUAUUCUUUUCUUUUUUGUUAAGAGAAUACGGCAUCACCUAUUAACGGCAUGGAGCUGCUUAUGUGACACCUCCGUAAGUCACUCAUAUCACAAAACCAUUUCCUUCUUUUCUCUUUCUCUCUUUCCCUUUCUAUAAGAUCAGGAAAACCAUUUCCCCCUUUCUCUUUCUCUUUCUCUUUGCCUAACAAGUUAACAUGUCAUAUCAUGAGAAAGACCAUUUCUCCUUCGAGUUAGGUUGGAGGGAGUAGCUUGGCACCCUCGCUAAACAGUUGCUAAAACAUGGUCUUGUUGGUUGCUUAGCGAGAGAAAAGAGAAGAAAUAAGGAUUGUUUGAUAGUUUUUGAUUGAAAACAUUAACUAGAAAAUGUUUGUCUAAGUAAUAAAGUCUGACUGAAAAAAAAAAAAAAAAAAAAAAAAAAAAAAAAAAUUUUUUUGAUUUUAACNAAAAAAAAAAAAAAAAAAAAAAAAAAAACAUUGUUUGAUUAUACAUCUAACUGAAUGUGCUGACUAAUACAAAAUGACUAUUUUAUCCUAAUACUAUAAUGAUUAAUAAUAAUCAUCAUCAUAAAAACUUCUAGAAUAAUAGAGAUUAAAUAUAUUAUUUUGGGCUUAAACCAUAAAAAACCCUCUAACUUGCUUGUAAACACCAUUUUUGUAUAAAGGAGUAGGGUUGAGCAAAAAACCACACCGUAACUAAAAUUAACAGCAAAAACCGCAACCAAUAAAACCGAUGUGAAGUUUUCUGUUUUUCAAAAACCACAAAUUUAUGCUGCGGUGCAAUUAUUAGUUUUCAAAAACCACAAAAAAAACCACACCGCAUAUGUUAUAUAGAACUUUUUUUAUUAAUUAUUAAUAUAUUAAAUAUUAAAAAUAAGACAAGUUUUAUGAAUGAAAGAUGAAUAAAAUACUAAAAGACAAAAAGUAUGUUUUUUGUUAUGUUUAACUUUAAAAAAUAAUGAAAUUAAACACUUUUAAGAAAUUUUUUCUUAAUUACUACUGAUUUGAUGUUUUUAAGAUAUUAUUGUUUGUGAUUUAAGUUAAUAAUUUUUUUAUUAUUAUAAGUAAUAUGUUUGAACUCUUAAAAUCGUUUAAACUCUAAAAUGUGGUUAAAAACCACACAAAAUAACUGCACAAAAUCCAUGCGGUUAAUAACCACAACACAGAAAAUACAAAAUCGCACUGCAAAAAUAACCGCAUCAAACGAUUUUGAAAAUGGAUUAACCGCAUUUGCAGUUGGUGGUGAGAUUUUAACAAAUAACCGCAUCAAACCGCAACACACUCACCCCUAAAGAAGACCUGAGUUUGAUUCUUAUAAUGUCUCUCCAUACACACAAAUUUUUAUCCAAUGGCUCCAAGGGCAAUGAUAUUAUUGGAAAGGCUUGAUUCCAUUUUCAGUCAGCUAUAUGUUCCAAUUUCUUUCUCGGCCAGACGAUACUUUCCGCGUCAUGAGGGGCUAAGCCAUUAAUUCAAGGACCGAAGCUUUCAUCUGACUUCCCAUAUGUUCGAGACCAUUAUUUCUUAGUCGUUGAAAGCAGAAGAAAAACAUCAUAUUCUAAUGAUUUAGAAAUGUAAUAUUUGAAAAAGGAUUAAUGUAUGGAAGGCCAAGUUUCUCUUUAUUUUGGUGGUAAGCUCUCUCUUAAAAUUAGUCCUUUCCACUGUUCCUAUACAUACCUUGGGUCUCCUACAGGAUUUCUAAGAUAGAAAAGUGUUGCGGCUAAUUUAUUAUAUCAAAUAGGGCCCAAGACUUGUAACUAGUUUUGCAAUUUCUACCUUUUUACAAUUUAUUUUAUUUAAAUAGUUAAAUAAAAUUAAAAAGAGAAUAUUUAUCUUUUAAACAGCUUACCACUUCAUAUCAUCAUAUUAAUCCAUAUCACCAUAUUAAGUGAUCAUAUUAAGUUUAGAUGUCAAUAAAAUUAGAAAAUUAUGAGAUGGCAGUAGUGCUCAUAGUCAUAAACGAUCAGAAUAUCCAGAAUCUACAAUGAUNAUAUAUAUAUAUAUAUAGAGAGAGACAAAAUGUUGUUGAUGUAUAUGAUAGUAUUUCUUUUUUCCAACAGAAAAUGAAUAUUGUACUACUUUUCCCUAGUGAAGAAAAAUUUAUAUAAUAUCCGCAUACUAUAUAGAUAACCUUACAAACAUUCAAGCAACAAAUACAGGAAAAAAAUGUUGGAUUUUUAUUACCUAUUUGUUGUGCUUCUAAAAAAUUAGAAGUUGUAAUUAUCAAAUUCGCAGCGACAUUGGUAUAAAUUUUCGUUAAAAGGUUUAACAAUAGAGAAUGAAGUUCCCAUAAUUUUUUUUAUUGCUGGAUUCGCUCAAUUUAGAUUUUUUUAAAAAUAACGUAGUUUAAUAUUAAAUUUAAAUUGUCAUAAAAACAAAAAAAAUGAUCAGAACGCAAAAAAAUCAGAUUACUUCUAUACAUAAACCUGCAUCUACACAAAAUUAAAAACGAAAACAUGAUGUAAUUUGGAGUGAUUAUAAGGAUAUUUUGCUUUAAACGAAAAAAAAGAUCAUCCUUAUUAUGGAUGUAAUUAAAUAAAACAAACACAUUAUAUAAAUAAGAAACACUAUGAGUCUUUAUUUAAAAAUGAAGACUUUCAGGAUCAUUAAUUAUAAAAUUAAAUGCAAUUAAAAAUGAUCGAUCAUUGAUCAAAGAGCAAUUUGAAAUAAUUUAUAAAACCAUAUAAAAGAUGCUAAAUGCCAAUUAAAAUAAAACUAAAAUUUGAAAGAAACAACACUAAAAUAACUGAGAGAUCAUCAGAUAGGAGCGAAAGACUAAAAGAGAUGUAUAAUCACAGAAGAACAUCAUUUGAACUAUGCAAAUGAUCAUCAUUUGAAGCUCUCAAUUAAUACUUAGAUUUAAAUCGAAAAUUAAAACCAAUGAUCUAGAUACUUGGCCUCAUAGAGAAGAUUAGAUUUGACAACAUAGUAAGAUUCAGACAUAUGCUUGUCUAUUAUUAGAAUUUAAUCAUCGGCCAAAAAGAUGCAAUGAAAAAUACACUAAAUCAUCAAAUAGGAUAUCAAUCAACAAAUAGAGGAAAACACCUCUACAACUACAACGAAAGUCGAAAGGUACCUUUUCACAACCGAUUAAAAUGCAAAAAGAAAGAUGGAUGAUUCACUUGAUUGCCCAAAAAACAUCAAAUAUGUAAGAACAGAGAUCAGAACAACGAUUUAUCAAGGUGGUGACUAGUAGCGAAGGACGUAUAAACCAUUAAAAUAGUUGCGACUGAAUUUGAUAGAUUUGUUCGUUGUUAUUUAUAGAGGCGCGAUGAGGAGCUAGGGUUUUUAUCAGGUGAGUAUUGGUGAUGGUUUGGGCCACCGAUUUGUAAUUUGAG
rnacentral:lncRNA from 1 species